rnacentral:tRNA from 1 species
GAGGGUAUAGCUUAGUGUUAGAGUGUAUGCUUGGCAUGCACGAGGUCCUGGGUUCAAUCCCCAGUACCUCCA